GUGUGUGAUUCACUGUAUGGUGUGUGCAUGUGUGCGUGUAUGCGCUUCAUAAAAUUGAAAAGACAGCAGAGCAGAGCAGAGCAAGCCGAUCAUCUACUAGUAAUAUUGGAUAAUUGCCAAUCGUGACUUGUUUUUAUUUUGUUGAAUGUGUGAUAGUCAAUAUGUUGUCUGUUGAGUCGAGUCAUCAAGCCGUUACCCGUCCGGCCUUUUGAAACAUUAAAAUUUAUGAAGAAAACAAAUAAAAAUGAAUUUUCAUUUGGUAUAACCCUUUAAUAUUGCAUAAAGCAUAAUCAUAGUAUAUGCUAUAUUAUUUGCGAGUGCAUAAAUAUUAAUUAAUUCAAGACUACAGGCAUCGUCUACUGAAAAUAAGGUCCACCUUGUAUGAUGUGACUAUCUUAUUCAAUAUUUCUGGUUUUGAGGAAAGCAUUUGCCAAUCAUAUCAAACGUCUACCUUGUAUGAUGUGACUAUCUUCUUAUUCAAUAUUUGUGGUUUUGAGGAAGCAUUUGCCCAUCAUAUCAAUUGUCCACCUUGUAUGAUGUGACUAUCUUAUUCAAUAUUUCUGGUUUUGAGGAAAGCAUUUGCCAAUCAUAUCAAACAUCAUGUUACUGAGGACAGUGGAUAAAAUUGAUAUGGUGUUUUGUUACCAUGCUAUGGGAGGGUAAUGGUGGAUGAGUGAGGGAUGACACUAACAGGACAAUAAGAAUCGCGUUUGAGAGAACUGAAAUGCAUUCUAAGCUAGUAUUUCAUCUUAGCCAAGUAUUCAAGUUUAUGAAACUACUGUCUGUAAGACAGGCAUCACGAUGUAAGCAAAUACAGUUGUAGCAAAUAAUAUUAUAUCUUUGAUAAAUAAAAUUAAUUUGAAUUUAUUCGAA